rnacentral:rRNA from 1 species
CCGGCGCACGGGUGAGUAACACGUAUCCAACCUGCCGUCUACUCUUGGACAGCCUUCUGAAAGGAAGAUUAAUACAAGGUGGCAUCAUGAGUCCGCAUGUUCACAUGAUUAAAGGUAUUCCGGUAGACGAUGGGGAUGCGUUCCAUUAGAUAGUAGGCGGGGUAACGGCCCACCUAGUCUUCGAUGGAUAGGGGUUCUGAGAGGAAGGUCCCCCACAUUGGAACUGAGACACGGUCCAA